GCGCCUUGCCAGCCCGCUCAGAAACUUAAGGAAUUGACGGGGCCCGCACAAGCGGCGGAGCAUGUGGAUUAAUUCGAUGCAACGCGAAGAACCUUACCUGGGUUUGACAUACACCGGAAAACCGUAGAGAUACGGUCCCCCUUGUGGUCGGUGUACAGGUGGUGCAUGGCUGUCGUCAGCUCGUGUCGUGAGAUGUUGGGUUAAGUCCCGCAACGAGCGCAACCCUUGUCUUAUGUUGCCAGCACGUGAUGGUGGGGACUCGUAAGAGACUGCCGGGGUCAACUCGGAGGAAGUGGGGACGACGUCAAGUCAUCAUGCCCCUUAUGUCCAGGGCUUCACACAUGCUACAAUGGCCAGUACAGAGGGCUGCGAGACCGUGAGGUGGAGCGAAUCCCUUAAAGCUGGUCUCAGUUCGGAUCGGGGUCUGCAACUCGACCCCGUGAAGUCGGAGUCGCUAGUAAUCGCAGAUCAGCAACGCUGCGGUGAAUACGUUCCCGGGCCUU
rnacentral:rRNA from 1 species